AAUAAGUGUAGUUUUGCACUAUUCAUGUACAACGUUUGACCGUUCGUCUUAUUUGAAUUUUUUUUGUGAUUAGUAUUUUUAUUGUUAUUAAAUGAUAAAACAUGAAUAGUAUUUUAUGGGUGAUUAUUUUUUUAGUUUUUUCAUAAAUUUUUCAAAUAAGACGAACGGUUAAACGUUGGAUAAAAUCCCCACGACUGCACUUAUU
rfam:Oryza meridionalis cultivar OR44 (W2112) chromosome 8, whole genome shotgun sequence.